ACUCCUACGGGAGGCAGCAGUGGGGAAUAUUGCACAAUGGGGGAAACCCUGAUGCAGCAACGCCGCGUGGAGGAUGACACAUUUCGGUGCGUAAACUCCUUUUAUAUAGGAAGAUAAUGACGGUACUAUAUGAAUAAGCGCCGGCUAACUCCGUGCCAGCAGCCGCGGUAAUACGGAGGGCGCAAGCGUUACUCGGAAUCACUGGGCGUAAAGAGCGUGUAGGCGGAUCGAUAAGUCAGGAGUGAAAUCCUAUGGCUCAACAUAGAACUGCUCUUGAAACUGUCAAAUCUAGAGUAUGGGAGAGGUANAUGGAAUUUCUGGUGUAGGGGUAAAAUCCGUAGAGAUCAGAAGGAAUACCGAAUUGCGAAGGCGAUCUACUGGAACAUAACUGACGCUGAGACGCGAAAGCGUGGGAGCAAAACAGAUUAGAUACCCUGGUAGACAU
rnacentral:rRNA from 1 species